GGGGAUGACAAGGAUCGACGGAAAGGCAGCUUAAAAAUUGCAAACCGAGAAUGGUCUUACCUCGUAAAAAUAGACCGUAAAAUACACGGCAACGAUUAUCAGUUUGCCCCCGCUGUCGCUUUUGCGGCUUAAGCGGGCGCCGCUGUUUCUUUUUCUUAGCAAGGAAACAGGGGUGUUAUAUACGCUAAGAAGAGGGUAGAUUGUUCAGUUAUCAUCUAUUCCUUAUCUAGUUUAUAGCUGAAAUUUUGGGAGAAUAAGGAGUUGGCCGCUUACCCAAAAUUAUUUUUGGCCAACUAAGUUUGUAGAGAAUUUUUAAGUUUCGUUUCCGGACGGGGGUGCAAUUCCCCCCAUCUCCACCA
rnacentral:tmRNA from 1 species